CAAAUUUCCUAGAAAACAAACAAAAUAUGUAAAUAAUAAAGUCAUUUCACACUUCACCUUCAUUGUUCCCCAGUGGAAUUUACCAGACUCCUCUUCCUAUUCCUCGAUUCGUAGCCAUCACUUUUUAAAACCCACCAAGCAACAAAAGAAGCAGCCAAAGUCAACAAUAACUUGAAGAAUCGUGCUUUCAAAAUAGAGACCUGCGAGAGAAGAAAAAUGCGAGAUAGCCAGAGAGGCAGAAGCGAGGUUGGCUAUGAAAAGGGCUUUGGUAGACAUCGAGAGAGAAAGGGGGUGUAGGUUGUGAGAGAGAAUUUUUAGAAUUGAGUUUUUUUUAAGACACUUCUCUAUUUAUACUUCUGUUAAGUUAAUAAUAUUUUUAAGUUUUUGAUUCAACAAUUCUGGUUCGAUCUAAUUCAAUCAGUUUCGGGUUUUUUAAACUAAAACAAAAACAGAAUUGAUUUUUUUUGUUUUCUAAUAGGUUUUUUUUUUUGUUUUUUAGUUUAAUAAGUUUUUUUCUCAUCCCUGAUUAAAAUACUAUCCAUUCACUAUGCAUGUUUUUUUAAGUUUUCUAUGUAGCUCUAGUUAAUAUUUGCAAUUGAGUUCCUAGUUUUAAUAAUCUUUGCAUUUGAGUAACAAUAUUUCAUUAUAUUCUUGUUUUUUAUGAUCUUUAUGACACCAUUUGCCUAUACAUUACGUUAAGAUUGCUAUAAAAAAAUUCCUCUGCUUUUGUAGGGUCUGGAUUGGGAUCUCCUUUUCGUGUAAUUAAGAUCAAGCAAUGUAUAUAUAUAUAUAUAUAUAUAUAUAAUCUUAACGUAAUGUAUAGGCAAAUGGUGUCCGGUGCUAUUAAGCCUAUAUGGUGCUUGUGAUGAUCCAAAUCCUGGAAUGGGUACAAUUGAGACCACCCCACACACUGAGAUUCACUACUGGACCGGCGACCCCAAUCAACCUAAACGGGAAAAUAUGGACAAUUUCUACUCAGCAGGGAGAGAUCCCAUAUUUUAUUGUCAUCACUCGGAACGUCGAAGAAGCUAUGACACAAUUAGCCAAACCAGCAGAUUCAUGACUUAAAUCAACACUAACCUCUAGAACCAAGCAGCUUCGAUUCAAAAUUUAAAGGUUCAAGUUAGUCAAGUAGCCAACAUGCUCACGAGUAGACAACGAGAAAAUCUACCAGCACAACCGAAAUCAACCCUAAGGAACAAUGCAAGGCCAUAACUUUAAGAAGUGGAAAAGAAGUAUAAGAUACUGCUGGAAACAAAAAUGUAAGCAAUGAUGAAGAGGAGCAGUUAGCCAGACCUCUUCAAAGCAUGAAGAAGUCUGAAACUCUACCAGAACCAACACAAGAAAUGAUACCGAGAAAUAUAUUUCCUCAGCGACUCAAGAAGAAUAAGCUUUAUAAGAAAUUUUUUAAAUUUCUUGAUGUGUUCAAAAAACUGCAAAAUAACAUUCCUUUUGCAAAUGCUCUAUAACAAAUGCCAAGUUAUGUGAAAAUUUUAAAGGACAUCCUAUCAAACAAAAGGAAGCUAGAGAAAUAUGAGACGGUUGCUCUCAUUGAAGAAUACAAUGCAAUUUUGCUAUACCAUGUUCCAUUGGAAAUGCUAUAUUUGAAAAAGCUCUAUAUGAUUUAGCUGCAAGUAUUAAUCUUAUACCUUUAUCUAUUUUUAAGAAACUUGGUUUUGGUGAAGCAAGGUAAACCACAGUAACACUGCAAUUGGUUGACCGAUCAUUAAAGCAUCCAAGAGAAAUAAUCGAAGAAGUUCUGGUAAAAGUGGACAAGUUCAUCUUUCUAGCCAACUUCAUCAUACUAGAUAUGGAAAAGGAUAAUGAGAUUCCUAUCUUGCUUGGCCGAUCAUUCUUGGCCAUUGGAGUUUUGAUUGAUAUGAAAAAAAGGGGAGCUACGGUUAAGGGUGAAUGAAGAGGAGGUAAUUUUUAAUGUGUUCAAAGCCAUCAAACAUCCAGAUAGAGGGGAUAAUUGCUUCAGCAUUCAAGUGCUAGACUCCUUAAUUAGUGACAGAGUCAAGCAUCCAAGUGACUGGUUGGAAGCAUGUCCGGUAAACAAUCCAAGUUGAUAGUGGUAAGGGAUGUAGAUAAUAAGUUGAUACCUACUCGAACUGUGACUAAAUGAAGGAUUUGCAUGGACUACCAAAAGCUCAACAAAGCCACUCACAAAGAUCAAUUUCCCUUACCAUUUAUUGAUUAGAUGUUGGAUAGGUUGAUUAGGCAUGAAUAUUAUUAUUUCUUAGAUGGUUAUUUGAAUACAAUCAAAUAGCUAUCGUGCUUGAGGACCAAGAGAAGACCCAUUUCACCUGCCUUUAUGGUACUUUUUUUUUUAGAAGGAUGUCUUUUGGGCCAUACAAUACACCAGCACCUUUUAGAGGUGCAUGAUGGCUAUCUUUUUAGAUAUGGUUGAGUAGAUUAACGAGGUCUUCAUGGAUGAUUUUUUCGUAUUUGGAACUUCUUUUGACGAUUGCCUUACAAAGUUAGCUUUGGUUUUGGAACGUUGUGAAAAAUUAACUUGAUAUUGAAUUAGGAAAAAUGUCGCUUCAUGGUAAAGGAAGGUAUAGUGUUGGGGCAUUGGAUUUCAACAAAAGGAAUAGAAGUACAUAGAGUUAAUAUUAAGGCAAAACACAAGCUUCUGCCACCAAUAAAAGUAAAGGGUAUUAGGAGUUUUCUUGGACAUGCUGGAUUUUAUAGAAAGUUCAUCAAAGACUUCUUUAAAAUCUCUAAACCUCUAUGCAAUUUGCUGAUAAAGGAAACACAGUUUCAGUUUGAAGAGAAUACAAGAAAGCCUUUUUUUUGCAGGUAAGAUCAUCCCUCCAAAUUUUUCUUACCAACAAAAGAAAAGAUUUCUUGUUGAGGUCAAACACUAUUUCUAGAAAGAGCCGAUACUCUAUCGGCACUACACAAAUCAGGUUAUCAGGAGGUGUGUUCCAGAAAAGGAGAUGACAAACAUGUUAAAGCACUGCCACACACUUGAAUAUGAAGGGCACUUUGGAGCAUAACACACUACAACCAAAGUCCUUUAGCUUGGUUUUUAUUGGCCUACUAUGUUUGAGGAUGCUUAUGCUUUUGUUACAACCUGUGAUAGAUGUCAGCAUAUUGAGAAUAUAUCUAGAAGAAAUGAAAUGCCAUUGCAGAAUAUCCUAGAAGUUGAGUUAUUUGACGUUUAGGGCAUUGAUUUCAUAAGAUCUUUUCCUUUAUCCUACAACAACAAAUACAUUCUCUUAGCAAUGGAUUAUGUAUCAAAGUGGAUAGAGGCAGUUUUAACGCCUACAAAUGAUGGUAAAAUGGUGCCUAAUUUUCUACGAAAGAACAUCUUUACAUAUUUGGUACUCCUAGAGCCAUCAUUAGUGAUGAAGGGACUCACUUUUAUAACAAGCAGGUUGAAGCACUUUUGUCUAAAUAUGGAGUCAAAUAGAAAGGUGGAGAAGAUUAUAGAAAAAACAGUUAAUAACUCUCAAAAAGAUUGGGAAGAAAGUUAGAUGAUGCAUUGUGGGCUUAUCAAACAACAUUCAAAACAAUAAUGGGAAUGUCUUCAUAUCAAUUAGUCUUUGGAAAAGCAUGCCAUCUCCCUAUUGAAUUAAAGCAUAAGGCAUAUUGGGUAAUGAAACAACUUAACAUGGAUAUGCAGGCUGUAGGUAAGAAAAGAAUCCUGCAAAUCAAUGAGAUAGAUGAAUUUCACAAUGAGUCAUAUGAGAAUGCCAAAAUAUACCAGGAAAGAAUCAAGGCAUGGCAUGGCAUGACAAGCAUGUUGCACAUAAGGAGUUUGUCCCUGGUCAACAGAUAUUAGUCUUCAAUUCAGGGCUUCAAUUGUUUCCUGGUAAGCUUAAAUCACAAUGGUUAGGAUUGCUCAUAGUUGUUAAGGUGUUUUCUUAUGGAGCAGUGGAGGUCACUUAUGAUGAGUGUUACUACCCAAUUUUUUACCCAUGUUUUGAUAAAUUUUCAGAAAAAUCCAAAAAUAGCAAAAGAACAUCGAAAAUCCAAAAAAUACAUUUUUAAUAUAUUUGCAUCGUUUUUAGCAUUUUCAGUGUCGUCUAAAAAGAAUUUAAAUUUUCAAAGGUCUUUCGAACACAUUCAACUUUUCACGCGUCAUUUUUAAAAUCAUUAAUUUUCCUCAUUGAGUCGACGUUGAUAUUGUUUGUUUUCAAAAAAUAUAAAAAAAUUAAGAAAAAUCAAAUUUACAAAAAGAAAGAAGUUGAGGGACCAAGUUUGGAGACCUAACAACAUAUGUGCCUAUAAAUAGGAGUUUCCAAUACUUGCACAAUGGGGGGUAAUUUUGCAAAAUAAAGAGAAAACACAAAAAAAAAACCCUAACCCUAAAAAUCCCUCUCCUUCAAACCAGCCGCCCCCCCACUGGUUUUUUUCUUCUUCUUCCUUGGCCACCCACUACGGUCAUCUUCAUCAAACAAAGAACCCAUCCCCUUCUCCGGCCGCACUCCCAUUCAGAGACAAACCAGCCACCCUCUCUCACUACAGCCCCCAUCGCCACUGCCAUCUCCCAAAACCAACAUCCUUGAAGCGUUUCGUCUGCUCUUUCAACCACAGAAACCAGCCCCCCCCCUUUCCUCUCAUCUUCUCCACCCGUCCAAACAAAAAGAGAAGCGCCUCCCCCCUUAGAUUUGGUUUUCUUCUUCCUUCAAUCGACUAAGCCUUCCCUCAGCAAAAGAGAACCAAACAAUACCACAACAUCUCUGCCUCCCUGCUCAACAACUGUUCCCAUCUCCACCGCAGCUUCUCCCCGCAAACCCACGAUCUUCAUUGUCAGCCGCAGCAGCUCCGUCCUUACCGGAGAUCCACCAGCCCACACAUGAAAGCUCCUGGCCAACACUCUCCUCUCCAAAACGAAGCUAGCCGAACGAACGACAACAGCAAGAGCCUCACGGACGACAGCAGCAAGGCCGACCACCGCUGCCACCAAUAGGAGUGAAGACCAUCAAUGUAGCGACCACCACCGACAACUCCCUCCACAACCGUCGGCCAUCUGAAAUAGAAGAAGAGGAAACAAAAAAAAUCUACAAAGAGGAGUAGAUUUGAAAAGGAGAAGGGAGAGAAGCAUAUCUAGAAAAAAAAAUUAAAAUCAACUGCCAUUUGUUGCGUUUCUUGGAUUUACAAGUGAUGGGGUCCUCACGGGCAGCAGGAAAUUGAAGAGGGGAGGAAGCCAUUAUAGCCCCCUCGCGCUGUCUGGAUUUCACGGCGGCGUGUGAACCCACGCGCCGCUAGUGGCGGUGGCGCAUGGAGGAGACGCGCCGCCACUAUUCCUGCAGUUUCAGAGUGUCUUCCCUACAAUUUCUAGAAUUUUUAGGGGUUAUUUUGUAAAUUUGAAAUUGUGUAAUGUAAUUUUUGCUUAGUUGUUUUGAAUUUGUAUUUUGAAGUCUAGAUGGAAAAGGAAAAAAAGAAAAAGAAAAGAAAAGGGAAAAUAUAGUAAAAGUGUAUGAGUGUGUUUGUGUGCUUUUCAUGGAUGUUUUUAUUAUUAUGAUAAAAUUGCAAAGAUUAAAGAAUAAUUUAAUAUUUUGAUUGGAUCACGGUCAAGAAUUAUUAACUUAUACGUAAGUUGUAUUUCUGAUAUCCGAUGAAAAGAUAAAAAUUUUAAAACUUCUUUAACACGUCAAAGUCACGAAGCAGCUUACCUCAGGUAGGGUGUGUUAGGGGUGCUAAUACCUCUCCUAACCACAUCCAGUCCCUUACCCACGAAUCUCUGACAAGACCAGUACAUCCGGGUUUCCUAGUAGCCCUCAAAUAAAUACUAGGUGGCGACUCCCAACGAACAAAUCAAUUCAAGCAAAUGCAUAACUAAACAAAAAAUCGCCAGUCGAUGCCGCGCGGGUGACGUGCAACAAUAAGAAGGGAACAUUCAUAGUAAAUGGGCAACGUCUAAAGCAUUAUAGGAAUGGGGAGUCAAUUGGUAAAAAGGAUGAUAUUCCUUUUACCACAUCCUAACAAUAUGGUACAAUCAAGCUUUUGACUAUAACUAAGCGUUGAUUGGGAGGUAACCCAACACACACACAAAAUUACCUUUCUUUGUUUGAUUAAGUUGUGCAGGGAUGGAACAUGCACGCAGAUAACUAUUUGAAAACACAACUCACCCUUGCCUAGCUAAAAGAGAAGUAUUUGUAUACCUUUCUAGUCUUUCCUUUCCCAUUAUGAUAAAUUUAAAUUUAAGUUUGGGAGGAUAUUCAACUAUGGCUAUGAAAAUAGAGGGUGAAUUUGAUAUGCAUUUAAGAUCAGCUUUGACACUUUUAGGUGCUUUAUUAUGUUAUGCAUGACAUUUCUUUGCUUAGAAUAGACAAUAUCUUAUAAAGUGGGAUUAAAUAUGAUUAUUUUCUUUGGAAUUAUUGAAGUACACCUUUCCUUGCAAAGUCAUAUGAGUUGUGUGGUUAUGCAUAAAAUAUAAAUGUGAUGUUUUUCUUGUUAUUGCCCCCUUUCAUCUAAAACUAAAACAAGGUUUAUGUAAACAAGAGUGAUAAUAUUAUGAAAUGAAAUAAAUGAUUAUAUGAAGUUUAUCUACUCCAAUGUUUUGAGUUCUUUAUUAACUAGAGGUAUUUGUUACACGUGUGCGGCAUCGCAGCAAAAACAUCUACCCUUAAGAUUUUAUCUAAUGUGGAAAAUAUGGGGAGACAAGGAAUUCUUGUCUUUUAUUAGUGGAAAAAUUGGAAUGGGAGUCGCCACCUAGUAUUUUGGUAACUAGGACCCUUAACUGGUCACAGAGAUCAGGAACCGGGACUAGUUGCGUAAAGGGAAGGUUUUAGCACCCUAAAUACGCCCUACCUAAGGUAGGCUACAUUGUUUAAUUGUUUGAUAAAAUCUAAGGUCUUGUUGUGUUUUCUAGUUGUUGGUCCGUCUAAGGUUUAAGAAAAGUCCUCAUCGGUAAGGAGAUCCUUAUCUUAUCGAAUAAAACCUAACUGUUCUAACGUCUACAAAAGAAUUUAAUAUCCGGAAUACGUCUUAUAUGUAAGGUCGUAACCCCAGAUAUUAAAAGAAAACAAAAUAAUUUAUUUGGACUUUUGAAGUAUUGUACUAGUUCUCGUGACUUUAAUAAACUAGUUAUUAAAGCCAAAAUGCAUACUAAUACAUAUUUUUGAAAUUUUCUUUGUUGUAUGAAAAUACAAUAUGAAUUUUUUUUAGAGAGAGAGACUUAGUCGUAUGCACGAAAACAAAACAUUUAAUUUUUUUAAUUUUUUUUUAUGAAAACCAGGUAUUUUAAUACCGGAUUUGUAUCUUUACAAUAUAAAAAUACAAACCAAUAUCGAUCAAAAUACAGUAAAAAUAUACGAGAAAUAAAAAAAAUUCAAAAGAUUUUUGAAUUUUUUUUUAUUGGCCAGCUCGGCCCAUGUGGCCGGGCUAAACCCAAAAGGGGUAACCGGGUCACUGGCUUGGGCCAGUGACCGGGCUGGGAAAACAAAAGGCACCCUUACUGAUUAGUACUUAAAAGUGCAUAUUUAUCAAGGUUUUAUAUCAUCAUUUUGCACUUGAAGUAUCAAUAACUCCUUAACUAAAGCAUGUUUUAUAAUAACAAGUCUGAUACUAUAAGAUACCUUAAUAUAUAGUAAAUGUUCAUCUUAAAUACAAGCCUAUCACAUAAAUCAAAGGAUUGAUUGAUGAAUUCAACUACUGAAAUUGUGAAGAUAAAGAUAGGGUGAAGCUUAGAAAAGAGAUGUUGGUGCAGUCCAAACUAGAACACUGUUCGGUAAUUCGGUCAUAUUUCAAGUUCUAGAUGUCCAAAUGACCUCAAUUUUUUAGACAGAUUCGGUAAGACAUAGGCCUACAACUUUCAUGUGGAGUCCAAGAUUUAAAAAGGUUGUUUUCAAGUCCAAAUUAUAGCAACAACAGAGAAGUCCGCAUCUGUCCUGCAACCCGGACACUGUUUAGUAAUCAGCCCAUAUCUCGAGUUCUAGAAGUCCAAAUGACCUCAAUUGUUUUUCCUGGAAAGCUGAGACAAUUUCCUAGAACUUUAAUGAGUAAAGGUGGUUCCAAUUCUGACGUUAGCAAUGACGUUUUAUUCAGAUAAGAAGAUAAGGAUUAUAACCAAGUCAAGAUGUGGCCACCCACUCAACAAUUAUUCAUCAAAUCAAUAGUUCUAAAUUUUGGCCUAUAAAAGGAGGCAUUUGCCAUGCAUUUAGACAUCUUGGUGUUCAGAUCAAGAUCAUUCUCUUGCUCUCUUUCUUUGUAUUUUGUAAUGUUUAAGUUUUAUUUGAUGUUAUAUUAAUCUCUUGUUUAUGCUUUUCAUUUCCUUUCCUUUAUUUAUAUAAUUAUGUUCUUAUCUUGUUUAUUUAUGUUUCUUUCUUUCAUUAUGUUUAGCUAAAUCUAUUAUGUCAAGGUAAAAAGGUUACACUAAUAACAACAAUAACGACAAGAAUAAUAAUAAUAAUAAUAACAAUAAUUAGUAGUAGUAAUAAUAAUAGUAGUAAUACUAAUACUAAUACUAAUACUAAUAAUAACAAUAAUAGUAAUAAUAGUAGUAGUAGUAAUGAUAUUAAUAAUAGUAAUAGUAAGGAUUAAACAAUAAUAAAAACAAAUGUCAAGGUUAGAGAUCCACUAAUAGUAAUUCAAACAAGUAUAGUAUAAACUCUUAUUACUCAACUGGAAACCACACACAAAGGAGGUUCCAAUCAGAUUAUAAUUGUUAACAUGAUUACAUUAAUUAUCUUAUUCGAGUAAUGCCAAUACUUGUAAAUAUUAUAAGGUAUUCAUGGUGAUAACUUAUGUUAACAACAAAUCAAGUUCCUUUCAUAGCACAAGUGUCGGUUAUACUAUGAAAGUGCCAAGCAUUUAUUGUACCAAGGGUUGUUCAACACAAAUCUAAAUGAACCAUUUAACAAGCAAGGUAUUAAGAGUGAGCAAGAUAAUAAAUAUAAAACAUGUUAAUAUCAAGCAUUAAAGUCCAUGUUGAGUUUAUAUUAUACUUAUUCUUACACCAUAAGUGUAACUUUUUCACCUUGACAUAAUAUAUUUAGCUAAACAUAAUGAAAGAAAGAAACAUAAAUAAACAAGAUAAGAACAUAAUUAUACAAAUAAAGGAAAGGGAAUGAAAAGCAUAAACAAGAGAUUAAUAUAACAUCAAAUAAAACUUAAACAUUACAAAAUACAAAGAAAGAGAGCAAGAGCAUGAUCUUGAUCUGAACACCAAGAUGCCUAAAUGCAUGGCAAAUGCCUCCUUUUAUAGGCCAAAAUUUAAAACUAUUGAUUUAAUGAAUAAUUGUUGAGUGGGUGGCAUAUCUUGACUUGGUGCAAAUCCUUAUCUUCUUAUCUGAAUAAAACGUCAUUACUAACAUCAGAACUGGAUCCACCUAUACUGUGAAAGUUCUAGGAAAUCCUCUUAGCUUUCCAGGAAAAAAAAAUUAAGGUCAUUUGGACUUCUAGAACUCGAGAUAUGGGUUGAACACUGAACAGUGUCCGGGCUGCAGGACAGAUUCGGACUUCUCCAUUGUUGCUACAAUUUGGACUUGAAAACGGCCUUUUUAAAUCUUGGACUCCAUAUGAAAUUUGUAGGCCUAUGUCUUACCGAAUCUGUCUAAAACAUUAAGGUCAUUUAGACAUCUAGAACUUGAGAUAUGACCUAAUUACCGAACAAUGUUCUAGUUUGGACUGCACCAACAUCUCUUUUCUAAGCUUCACCCUCUCUUUAUGUUCACAAUUUCAGUAGUUGAAUUCAUCAAUCAAUCCUUUGAUUUAUGUGAUAGGCCUGCACUUAAGAUGAACAUUUACUAUAUAUUAAGGCAUUUUAUAGUAUCAGACUUGUUAUUAUAAAACAUGUUUUAGUUGAGUUAUUGAUACUUCAAGUGCAAAAUGAUGAUAUAAAAUCUUGAUAAACAUGCACUUUUAAGUACUAAUCAUUAUGCAAAUGGAAGUAGUUAUUGUUCAAGUGAAUUAUAAUUCACUUGAACAGUGAAAAUGCAAAAAUGGAAUUGCAUGCACAUAGACAAAGAGAACAAACUUGGUGGUAGAAACGAUGUCGAAGAUGAUGGUAAUGGCAUACGCUCACAGUGAUGCUGGUGGUGGAGAGGAAGCCGACAAUGGCUCACAGUGGUUAUGAUGGUGGCAGGCAGUGUUUGCUGCAGUUUUUCAUCUUUUUCCCAGUGCAGAGACACCAGCCUCUAUUUUUUUCUUCCUCAUCUGCCUCUGUUUAGUUCUUCCCUUUUUUGUCUCUGUUUUUCGUUCUUUUCAAAAGAUUUCCCACCCUCUCUUUUCUUCCUCCUUCUAUGUCUUAUGUCUGUCUUUUUCCUGCGUUUCCCCCUAUUCUGCUCUCCUCUCUUCCCUCUCUAUUUUUCUUCUCCAUGUCCGUGUAUUUCUACUCUUCACUUUGUAUUGCUUUGUACCAUGCCCUCUUUGUUUUGUUUUACUCUCCUUCUAUUCCACUCUUCCCCGUUUUCUUCCUUUUCUCUGUCGCAUCUUGCCUCCUCCUCCUCUUCUUCUCCUUUCCCGUUCCCCCCUACCUCAAUGCAGUACAUCCUCUGGCUUUUAUAGCCAGAGGAUGCAGGCAUUUUCCCUUUGUUGUUGCAGGGAUGGAGUAACGGUCGGCAUGCAUCAUGGUAGCCGUGAAACAUGCCCCCUUGAUUGAAGCAAAUCGCGCCUUCACCGCUGCAAACUUUUCUCGGCCAGCUCACUUAACAUCUUCUAAAGAAGACAGUAAACAGUGUUGAAUAAAAUGGCACCGUUUUGCAACUUUAAAUGAUAUUUCCUAUUUGAUCCUUGAAUGUUAAUGCAAUUUUGUAAUCAAGCCCCAGGAAAACUGUUAAUUAGAUCCCUUGAUUUUAGCGCCUUUUUCGGUUGGGUCCUUGGUUUUGGAUUGUUUCAAUUAACUCCCGAAUUGGCCAUCAAACUUUAAUAAUUAUGCUAUUAAGCCCCUAAUUUGGCCAAAUCAACUCUUCAAAAUUAUAAUUAACCCUAGAACUUUAAUUUCUUCCAAUAAAAGCCUAAAUUGACUUAAAAAUCAAUUUUUCUUGCAAUCAAACCCUCUAUAAAUUUAAUUAAACCUUAGAUAAAAUUUUAUUGAAUCCAUAAACAUCUAAUUUUGAAUAUAUUUUUAUUCUCAAAAUUGAAUUUUCUUUGUCAACAAGACUCUCAUCAGUUAACAAUAAACUAUCAAAUUUCAACCUUUUGCAUUUUUGAACCUCCUCAACCAAUUUUUGGUCAUUUUUCAGCAUUCUAACUUCCUUUUCUUGCUACUAUUAUUAUUUUUUGGAUUUCUUCGGAAUAGUUUUUUUAUAUUUCUUUUUUUUUUGUAUUUUUUUCAUUUAUGUCUGGGAACCCAAAAAUGGGUAACAACAAUAUUCAUCACAAAUAUUUACUUUAACAUCAAACGACAACUUGAAAUAUGAGUAUGCAAAGCACUUUAAGUUUGUGAUCUGUUAAAUAACUGGGUGCAUUUAUCACAAAUGUUUGUAUUCACGUCAAAAAACAAAUAACAAAUGUUAAGUAACCAGGUGCAUUAAUUGCAGGAUGAAUGUGCAUGAUUCAAUUAUGAUAGUCAUAUGAUACACUUGAUUAAGUUGGGAGUUUGUACAGAGGUUUAAACUAAAAAAAAAAAAGGAUGCUUAGUUUUCCUUUAUCUGAUAUUGUUUAUGAACUAAGUUAAGAGGUCAAUGCUUGCAUGAGGGAACCCUUGAAUAUUAAAAGUUGAACUUAUCUUAAGCAUUUUCCCUCUAUUUUCAUGGUUUUCUUUUUGCAUGAGGACAAGCAAACAUUUAAGUCUUGAGGGUAUUUGAUAAGAGAAUUUAUAACAUGCAUAUUUUCGAUUAUUCUUGUUUUAUUUUGUAAUAUUUCAUAUGUGUUGCACAAGUUAAUUAGGAUUUGGGAUGCCCUUUUGAACUAUUGACCUUGUGAAAAAUUAAUGUGUUUUCAAAUACUAAAUUACUAGAGUGGGCAUAAUCUAGAAUUAAAUCUGAGCACUGAUUGGUUUUUAGGUUGUAACGAGAGCAUACAACUCUGUUUCAAGCGUUCAUCACCAAUUUGAAAAUUUGAGACAUAGAUAUACAAAUCAUAUGAGAGCAUAAAACUCAGUUUUGCUAAUUUGAAGCCCAAAAAGUGAGUUAAAAGACAGAGUCAGAAUCAGACCCGAACUUCCUGUAAACCAGGCACUAUCUCAGGUUAUGGCCCAUAUAUCAAAUGUUAGAGGUCUAAAAAUUGCAAGAUCAACUUUGUUGGAAAGAAAAUUUGAAUUUAUACAAUUGCUCUAGAAAUAGAAGAGUUUUAUUUUGCACGUUUCCCACCCCAAAUUUGGCUUAUAAUAUUAAGAUAGGAAAGAAUAUGAGGCAAGGAGGAAACCAACACUCUUUCCAUUCUAAAAAAAAACAAGAAUAUAGGGACAUUCUUUUGAGAGUAGCGACAUCCAGAGAGUGGUACCCUAAAAUACACCCAAAAAAAAGAAGAGUGGUAUGAAGAAUAGACGAAAAUAGAGCAAAACAAAGGUGAAAAAAUCAAAAUAGAUUGGAAGACGUUCAACAGCUCUACUGCUAACCCCUACUCUUGAGUGAUAUUCAUUAUAUCAAGUUUGUUUCUCUUUAAUUUGGCUAUGAAUCUUAUUCAAGGAUUUUUUAUAUAACCUAACUAUGAAUAUGUGAGCAAUUUCUUUGAUUGAAUUAAUACACUAGUUGUUAAGUGUUUCGUUAUAUGCUUAACAUUUGUGUAUAUUUGGUCAACAUUUGCAUGAUUUACGAUUCAAUUUAAGACUGAGAAGUGAUAAUUGUUUUAGUCAUUGUUUAAAAUAUCUUAUGGAAUCUAUAGGAUAGAGUUAUCUUUAGAACUUUUGUAAUCAUUAAAAGUUUAAAGGUACUUAAUAAACUUUGACAAGUUCAAGAAUUUUGUAGAAUAUAUAAAGUUUGCUUGUUGAAAUAUUUCAUGGAUGCAUAGAGAUUAGUGUUUAAAUUAGGAAAACUUGAUUAUCAACAUUAAGAAUAAUUAAUUCAAUUGAGAAAAUUCACAUAGAUAUAUUUACAUUAAAAAUCUGAAAUCCUAGAAUCUAUUAGAAUUAAAUUCAAUACUACUUAAUUAAUUGGUUAUUACUUUUAAUUAUUAAUUUUUAUUUCAUAAAUUAUCUCAUUCAAUUCCUGCUUAUUUAAUUCCUCAAAUAAAUCACAAUUUAAAUUUUUUAAAAAUUAGUAAUAUUUUUUACAAAUUAUUGAGGGACAAUACACUACUCAUUCAUUAUUUUAUUACUUGUUACAUUCAUGCACCUGCAAAAUAAACCAACGGUCUGGUGGUGAUCUUGUUACCAUUGAUGUUGUCAGGAUUGGGCUCUGCUACCAUUUUCUUUUCUUUUGUCCUUUUUGCUUUUUCUUGUUUUUUUCUGUUUCCAUGUUAGAAUUCGGUGAGUCUUGUCUCUCUUCUUUAAAGAUGUUCAAUUAAUUCGGUGAGUCUUUUUUAGAUUUGAUCACCCAAAAUCACGUGAAAGUGAUUUUUCGCAUGUUUUCUCUUUUAUAUAUAUAAACUAUCUUCCUCCAAACUUCCGACCAUAGAUGUACCAUAGUUAGUGGUUAAAAUAAUAAAAUAAAUAGAGAUGAUAACAUAUUAGACAUUAUAUUUUAAAAAAAAAUAUCAAGAAAUUAAUCUAAUUUAAUUUAAAAAAUUAAAAAGAAACUAAACCCAAUAAAGAAAGAAAUGUAAAAAGACCUGAGAUCUUUUUAAAAUUUGUUAAAAAUCCUAUAUAAAGAAAACAAAUACAAAGUCCAAUAUCUAAGUAAAUCAAAUGUCAAAAUAUAAAAUUAAAAAACAUGAUUAAAAAACAACAACAAAUAAUCUUGAACGAAUCUCCUAAACUUGAGUUAUUCCCUCAAAUUCUUAACCCAUUAAAUUCUAAAUUCAAGGUCAAUCAAGUAACUCAAUUUAAUUAUAAAGAUGAAAUAAAAAAUAAUAAUUUAAAAAACUUGCUAAGAUUAAACAUUAACAAUCAAAAAAAUAAUGAUAAAAUAUGAUAUGCGCGCCAUUAUAAUGGAGGAUGAAAUUGUAAAAAAUAUAAUUUUAAAAAUCAUUCAAAAUAAAAUAAAUAUCAAUAAAAAAAUGAGGACCAAAUCUGAAAUGAAAUAAAUUGAUUAAUAAUGAAAUAAAAAAAAUUCAAUUCUAUAAACUAAUUCAAAUAAAAACUUAGCAAUUAAAAUAAUAGUGACAAAAUCCUAAAGAGAAAGAAAUUGAUGGUUGUUGUGAAAUGUUGCAAGGGAAGGCAUGGAAACCAAAAAAAAAACAAAAAACAAAAAAAACAAGUGGAAAAAAAAAAGUCAAUCACAACCAAACCAUUGGGCAUUAAUCCAUAUACACCGUCGGUGAAGUAGCCCCCGUCGUUUCAAAUAAAAAAAAUAACAAGAUGGUUUUUCUUCAUCGUGAGCCACCACCAACGUUGUUCAAAGACGACGAGGGGACCCACUCUUUAGCGCACUCUAUGAAUGUGCUAGCGGCUUUUUCUUUUUCUUUUUUAUUAUUUGUUUAUUAAUUAAAUGACCAAAUCAUCCCUAAGACAAUAUGAUAAUUGCAAAAAAAAAACAACAACUCAAUGUGAAAUGACUAGCAUGCCCCUAAAGUCAGGCCUAAGAUAUUUUUAUUUCAAUAGCAAUAGAGUACUGACAUUGUGCAUGCAAAAAAGAAAUAUAAAAAAAAGCUUUGGGUCAAAUGUUUUUUUUAUUAUUAUUUUAAGGGUUACCAACUAAUUUAACUAAGCAAAAAAUUGUGAAAAGAAUGAGAUGUUCCCAACAAAUCUAAAAUGACAAAGGAGCCUAGAGAAAAGAUUAUUUUACCCUUGAAAGACAACUUUGUGUAUUUUUUGUGAAGGGUAAAGACUUUAAUGUACUAUUAUAAUCCAAGGUAAUUAAAGGCAUAACUACAAUGUUUUUCCCCACACAGUUUAAGUUCUGUUAAUAAUAAAACCUAAACUGAAAAUCCAUCUUGUCCAAAAUUCAAGUUAUUGAUAGGUAGGUUAACUCAAAUUAAUAUAAAUUUACUAGAUCCAAAAUCCAGGUGAUUGGUCGAGUAAGUUAACCUUAUUUCACCCCAAUAAUUUUUUUAAAUUGAAAUAUCAUCAUAUUAAAAUUUUUUAAAUGAAAAACAAACUUGAAAUGACAUGGUUUUGAAAAUAAAAACAAUUUUUUCCCCUCAAACUAACCCAAAUUAGAUUCCAGAUCAAUGAAUCACCAAGUUAACUCGAGAUAUAAUAUAACCAGUCCCAGAUGGACAAAGAUAACUAGGCCUAUGGAUAAAGGAAAAAUAAAGAACAAAAAUUGUGGGAUGAAAAAGAAAAGGAAAGGAAAAUAUAUCAUAGCAUAUCUUCUCCAUUAAAUUUAUAAUCAUUGUUUAUUAUUCAUGUUUUUAAUCAAAAUAUUUUUUAUUAGUAGGAUUUUUUUUAAUUAAAAAUAAAAGUAAUUAAAAUAAGUUCGUGUAAGAGUUUGAAUGAUUUAAAAUAACCAGGAAAAACCAUCAACUAUAACUAAAACCGAUAAGUGUAUCACUGUAGCGUUGACUAUUAUUCACUGUGAUUGCACUGUUCUAUACUAUAGCAGCCUUAUGAGAGCUUUCAUUGUGGACUGUGAGAGCUUUCACUACAGACUGCACUGUUUGGUCAUUGUGGCGCAGACUACUAUGCAAUGUGAGUGAAUUCAUUGUGGAUUGCACUAAUCUGCACUUUUGCGGCCUUGUGAGUGCUUUCACUAUGGACGACACUGUUUGGUGGGGGCAUUUGUAAGGCUUCAGCCAGCAGCCCUAAAUGCCAGGCUAGAGGCACGCCCACUAGGAAUGCGGACACCUGGCGCUUGGUUGCCAGGCCUCCACGUUGGGAAGGCCACACCCCAGGCUACAACCACCUAAGGCUCGGUAUGUCCGGCCUUGGGUGCUUGGGUUGUCUGCUUGUGUGUGGGGAAGACCAAGCGCACACAUGGUGCUUGGGUUGAUGCCUUUGUGAGAAAUAUUAUUAUUUUAUUAUAGUGAAUAUAAUUAAUAACUUUGAAAGAAAAUAUUAUUACUAAUAUUGAAAACAUAUUAUUAUUUAUAUUAUAAAUUUUUAUGAUAUUUUUUAUAUAAAAAAAAGUGAGCCCAUGACGCACUAUUAUUAAAAAUAUUCAACAAUUCUAAGUAUUAAUAUAUAAAAUAUUAUAAUUUGUGUCGUAAGUAUUAUUAUUUUUCUUCUAAUACAAAGUAUUCAUCUAAAAAAUAUUAUCAUUUGUGUUUUAAAUAUUAUUAUUUUUCUUAUAAUUCAACCCCAUGUUGUGUUUGGAUGCGUUCGCGCCCAACCACACGUUGUAACUGGACACGUCCAUGCCCAACACGUGUUGAACCUGGAUGCGUUCGUGCCUACCCCACAUUGGGACUCAACGCGUCCACGCUCAACCCCGUGAUGGGGGGGGACGCGUUCACGUCCACCUCCACUUUGGGCCUGGACACGUCCUAGCCUAGAUUCGCGGUGGACUUGACGCGUUCAUGCCCAUCCCACGUUGGGGCUCAACGCAUAUGUGCCCGACCCUGCGUUGCAUGUGGAGGCGUCCACGUCCACCUCCAUGGUGGGCCUGGAUGCGUCCCCGCUCAAUCCCAUGUUGGGUCUGGAUGCGUCCCAGCCCAACACGACGUUGACCUUGGAAACGUCCAUGCCCAACCCUAUGUUGGGUCCAGACACGUCCACGCCCAACACCGGGUUGGGGUUGGACCCGUCCACGCCCAACCACAAGCUGGACCUGGACACAUCUGCACCCAACCCCGCGUUGGACCUGGACACGUCCCCGCCCAACUCCAAGUUAGACCUAGACGCGUCUCCGGCCAACCCCACAUUGGUUUUCUUAUUAUAGUAAUUUGUGUUAUAUUAUUAAUAUUGAAAACAUAUUAUUAUUCAUAUUAUAAUUUUUUAUGAUAAGUUUUAUACAAAUAAAAAGUGAGCUCGUAGCGCAGUAUUAUUCAAAAUAUUCAACAAUUCUAAGUAUUAAUAUAUAAAAAAAACAUUAUAAUUUGCGUUGUAAAUAUUAUUAUUUUUCUUCUAAUACAAAGUAUUCUUAUCAAAAAUAUUAGUAUUUGUGUUCUAAUUAUUAUUUUUAUAUAUAAUUCAAAGUAUUCAUAUGAAAAUAUUAUUAUUUAUGUUCUAAAUAAUAUUAUUUUUGUUAGAUUUCAACGUAUUCAUAUCGAAUAUAUUAUUAUUUGUAUUAUAAUAUAAUUAUUUUUAUAAUAAUUCAAAGUUUUAAUAUAAAAAUUUAUUAUUAUUUGUGUUAUGAAUAUUAUUAUUUUUACUAUAAUCAAAAGUAUUAAUAUUAAAGAUAUUAUCUUUUGUGUUAUAAAUAUUAUUAUUUUUAUAAUAGUUAAUAUUAUUAAUAAAAUAAUUAAUAAAUUAGAAAAAAAAUUAUUCUUAAUAUUGAAAAACAACCAUAGAUUUGAUUUGAAACUUAAAUUUAAAAAUUACUAAUAUUAUUAUCAUCAUCAUCAUUAUCAUUAAAAAAUUUAAAAAAUUGUUAUUACCAUCGAAGAAAAACCAGGUGGCGACAUGUGGUGCUUGUGUUGAUGCUUGUGUGCUAGGUAGGCCCCAACGCACACGUGGCGCGUGGUAACAAGCACCCAAGCCCCCAAGUGUUGACACCUGGCGCUUGGGCGGACGCAUCCACACUCAACCCCACGUUGGGUCUAGACGCGACCACGACCACCUCCAUGUUGGAUCUGAACGCGUCCAGGCCCCACCCCACCUUGGGAUGGACGUGGCCCCGCCCAACACCAUGUUGGGUCUGGACGCGUCCCCACCCAAAGCCAUCUUGGCCGUGGACACGUCCACGCCCAACGCGCCUAGCCAUACAUUGGACCUGAAGGCGUCCGCACCCAAUCCCAUGUUGCUUGUCUUAAUAUAAUAGUGUUAUAAAUAUUAUUAUUUAUCUUAUAAUUCAAAUUUUUCAUAUCAAAAAUAUUAUUAUUUGUGUUAUAAAUAAUAUUAUUUUUAUUAUAGUUCAGAGUAUUGAUAUAAAAAAAUAUUAUUUAAUUAUUUAUAUAAUAAAUAUUAUUUUUUUAUAAUUCUAAAUAUUCAUAUUAAAAAUAAUAUUAUUUGUGUUAUAAAUAUUAUUAUUUUUAUUAUAAUUAAUACUAUGAAUAUCAAAAAUAAUAUUAUUUGUGUUAUAAAUAUUAUUAUUUUUAUUAUACUUAAUACUAUGAAUAUUAAAAAUAUUAUCAUUUGUGUUAUAAAUAUUAUUAUUAUUUUUAUUAUUAAUAAAAUAAUUAAUAAAUUUGGAAAGUUAUUAUUAUUAUUAAAAAUAUUAUUUUUUUGUAUUAUAAAUUUUUACAAUAUUUUUUAUGAAAAUAAAAAGUGCGGGCAUCCAACUACAGAAUCCAAAAUAGCCUUGGGUCAUUGGUUGUGCAAGAGCCAACGUAAACUUGGGUCAUGCACAAAUAACGUUGGAUCCUACAACCAUUAUGACCCAACUUUUUUGUGAAGAUAAAAGGUGAGCUUGCGACGUAGCGCGGGCCACCUAACUAGUAUUUAUUAAAUCUAAACUAUAUUUAUUUAUUAUUGUAUUUUAUUUAAGAAAAAUAAGUUAUUUUAUUAUAAGUAUUGUUUCUUAAAUUAAAACAAAUCAAAUCACAAUCUUGAAAGAAAGUUUUAACAAAAUAAAAUUUGAAAAUUAUAUCUAAAAAAAUAAGAAAAAGAUUAAUCUAAUUUUUUUUAUUAAUUUAUAAUAAAGAAUUACAAAGUAGAAAUCUUAUAUUUAUUGAAUAUUUAUAAUCACAAAUUUAAAAAUAAUUGAUCCAGAGUUGAACUUGUUACCGUUGAUGGUAAAAAAGAAGAAGAAGCGGGCCUAACUUUGUUGCUGACUGAUAGGGGGUAUAUGCUAUAUGCUAUGUUUUGCUCUUUCUUUUCUUUUCAGUGUCCUAGAGGCGGCUUUUCUGCUUGAAAAUGUUCAUGCAUUUUCUUGUUUUUUUCUCAUAUGUGAGCUUCAUUAUUUCCCACUGUUUUCUUUAAAGAUAUCAGUAGGCAUAACAUCAAUGUUUUUUUUUUUUUUUUUCACAUGCUUUCUCUAUUCAAUAAAAUAACUAUUAAAAAUACCUCUCAUUUUAAUCUUAUCCGACGAAGGAAAGGAAGAGGACAAAAGAUGUGGGGGUGCAAAAGAAAAGGAGAACAGAGAAGAAUAUAUAUAUAUAUAUUCUACAUUUUAACUUGUUUUAAUAUUCUAUAGGAGUCAAAAAGAAUAGUAGAAGGAAAACAAAGAGAGGAAGUAUUAACCUUUCAAAUGCUAAUAUUGACACUAAGGAAAUGUUAUAGAACAAAAAUAAAACGCUGCACAUCAAAUGUUUUUAAGAAAUUAAUGGAUUCAGAUAUACAAUAUGAUUAUAUGAUGUUAUUAAUUUAUACUUUGCCUUUGAACAUGGAUAACACAUUACAUUUCAUUGAUCCGUUACUUUAAUUAAAAACCCAGCAACGCCAUGAGGGAAAAAAAAAGCAAGAAAGAGAUGAAUAAGAAUGCAAGAUUUUUUUUAUUAUUCGGUGGGGCAGCACAAUCAUACAAUUGCCAAAUAUUUUGAAAAGAAGGUCACAUGCUAGCAUGAGUAAGAAAUGAGAAGGUAAACUUUUAAGGUGUAAACUAAUUAGCUAAGUUUUGGGUUUAUGUUUUAGAAGUAUUAGGUUGACUAUUAUAAAUCUCGCGACUAUUAAAGAUUUACAUAGUUAUUAAUUUUAGAAUCUUGAAGAAUUAGUUAAGGUACAUGUAAAUUGACUCGAACAUUCAUGAUUUUUAAAAAAAUCAUAAUACAAGAAAUUAGAAAGUUUCUCUUAUUUUUUUUACAGUUCGGUCAUAGAAAAAAUAAAAAAUAAAAAACCAAUGCAGAUUAAGAGAGCGUUUGGAAAUGCGGGUCAAUCUGUGUUUCCAAAAAAUUCACUUUUUAUUUUUGCUAAAAAUUAAUUAUGUUUUUAUGUUUUGAAUCGUUUUGAUGCACUAGUCUCAAAAAUAAUUUUUUAAAAAUAAAAAAAUAUUAUUAUUUUAAUAUAUUUCAGCAUGAAAAACAUUUUGAAAAGCAACCGCAACCACAUUCCUAAACAUCCAUUAAAUAUCUAAAUUAAACCAUACCAUUUACUUCAACACUCAAUAAACAUAAAAAUAUUCAAAAUCCAAUAUUCUUUACUUGUCCAUUAUGACCCUCAGGUUAAUAAAACACUCUUUCUCCAUGCUUGGGAACAUCCACAAGUGGAACUAUCCAUGCCUUCCAUAACUCUAUAUUAUCCUAGAACCAAAAAGUCAAUUUUCAUAGAAAACAAACAAAAUAAAUAAAUAAAGUCAUUUCACACUUCACCUUCAUUGUUCCCCAGUGGAAUUUACCAACCUCCUCUUCCUAUUCCUCGAUUCGUAGCCAUCACUUUUUAAAACCCACCAAGCAACAAAAGCAGCAGCCAAAGUCGACAAUAACUUGAAGAAUCGUGCUUUCAAAAUAGAGACGUGCGAGAGAAGAAAAAUGCGAGACAACCAGAGAGGCAGAAGCGGGGUUGACUAUGAAAAGGGCUUUGGUGGACAUCGAGAGAGAAAGGG
rnacentral:lncRNA from 1 species